CAGCAGUCGCCGCGGUAAUACGUAGGUGGCAAGCGUUGUCCGGAAUUAUUGGGCGUAAAGGGCUCGCAGGCGGUUUCUUAAGUCUGAUGUGAAAGCUCCCGGCUCAACCGGGGAGGGUCAUUGGAAACUGGGAAACUUGCGUGCAGAAGAGGAGAGUGGAGUUCCACGUGUAGCGGUGAAAUGCGUAGAGAUGUGGAGGAACACCAGUGGCGAAGGCGACUCUCUGGUCUGUAACUGACGCUGAGGAGCGAAAGCGUGGGGAGCGAACAGGAUUAGAUACCCCAGUAGUCCCUGUCUCUUAUAA
rnacentral:rRNA from 1 species